AUGUCGGCGCACAAAGCACCCGGUCCGGAUGGCUUCACAACGGAGUUCCUGCGCGCCUGUUGGAGCAUCAUCCGCCACGGCAUAUGGGACGUCUUCGAAUUGCUAUACACGCUGCAUGGCCGCGGGUUCAGCAAGCUUAACCAAGUGCUGCUAACCUUGCUGCCUAAGCGCGCGGACGCUCACAAGCUUGGUGACUACCGGCCGAUCUGCCUGAUCCACAUUGUGGACAAGAUCUUCGCGAAGGUUCUGUCAUUGCGCCUCACCCCCAAGCUCGACACCCUAGUCAGCCGCAACCAAAAUGCGUUCAUCGUCGGGCGUAGCCUCCAUGACAACUUCAUUCUAGUCCGGCAAUCCCUCAAGAUGCUGCACCAACUUGGCGCGCCCAGGAUCAUGCUAAAGCUCGACCUCACACGCGCCUUCGACUCCAUCUCAUGGCCCUUUCUCUUUGAAGUGUUGCGCCAGUACGGGUUCGGGGAGUGA
rnacentral:rRNA from 1 species